UGAAAUUGAACUCGCUGUGAAGAUGCAGUGUACCCGCGGCAAGACGGAAAGACCCCGUGAACCUUUACUAUAGCUUGACACUGAACAUUGAGCCUUGAUGUGUAGGAUAGGUGGGAGGCUUUGAAGUGUGGACGCCAGUCUGCAUGGAGCCGACCUUGAAAUACCACCCUUUAAUGUUUGAUGUUCUAACGUGGACCCGUGAUCCGGGUUGCGGACAGUGUCUGGUGGGUAGUUUGACUGGGGCGGUCUCCUCCUAAAGAGUAACGGAGGAGCACGAAGGUUGGCUAAUCCUGGUCGGACAUCAGGAGGUUAGUGCAAUGGCAUAAGCCAGCUUGACUGCGAGCGUGACGGCGCGAGCAGGUGCGAAAGCAGGUCAUAGUGAUCCGGUGGUUCUGAAUGGAAGGGCCAUCGCUCAACGGAUAAAAGGUACUCCGGGGAUAACAGGCUGAUACCGCCCAAGAGUUCAUAUCGACGGCGGUGUUUGGCACCUCGAUGUCGGCUCAUCACAUCCUGGGGCUGAAGUAGGUCCCAAGGGUAUGGCUGUUCGCCAUUUAAAGUGGUACGCGAGCUGGGUUUAGAACGUCGUGAGACAGUUCGGUCCCUAUCUGCCGUGGGCGCUGGAGAACUGAGGGGGGCUGCUCCUAGUACGAGAGGACCGGAGUGGACGCAUCACUGGUGUUCGGGUUGUCAUGCCAAUGGCACUGCCCGGUAGCUAAAUGCGGAAGAGAUAAGUGCUGAAAGCAUCUAAGCACGAAACUUGCCCCGAGAUGAGUUCUCCCUGAGACUUUAGAGUCUCCUGAAGGAACGUUGAAGACGACGACGUUGAUAGGCCGGGUGUGUAAGCGCAGCGAUGCGUUGAGCUAACCGGUACUAAUGAACCGUGAGGCUUAACCUUAC
rnacentral:rRNA from 1 species